ACUCUCUACAGAUUAUGGAAAAUAUUUGUCUGAGCUCUUAUUUCAACUGCUCCAUUCUCAGCUAGUGAGGAGAGUAAGAUGUAGUGAGGCAUGUGUUCAGAACUUUCUCCCAGAGGGCUGAUAGUCCACUACGUUAUCAAGUUCAAAGCCUAAGAAAUAUUGAACAUUUCCACACAUGAAUGUGGGUACUAUGUUUAAUUUGAGAAUGGCCAACUGUCCUCGAAGUCUCAAUCUCUUUGGAGCCUACCAGCUCCGAGAGAAGUUUGAGGAUGCUGCAAAACCCUCCCCUGCAAAUCCAUCUACUCCUCCCACUUCUAUCCUAAUGGGUAUAGUUCUUGGCUGUGCUGAGGAUCUGUAAGGCACCAGAUGUGAAAGUAAGGAAGAAAGAUGGAUGUGGAAGAAAGUCACUGCCCAGAGAAUAAGGAGACCUGGAUUCUAAUCUCAGCUCUGCCAUUAACUAGCUUCUAUACUUUAUCCAAGAAAGAAUAAAUCAUUUCCAAAUAUUUUCAAAGAUGAAACUAUGGCUCAAAAGGGAAUAAGAGAUCAAGGCAAGCAUGGACAUCUUGUACGUGGAAGUGCAGACCAGAACUUGUAUCACAGCCAGUCAUAUCUGGUGCUUUCCAUGCUACUUUUACAUACAUGUAUCCUUAAAUU
rnacentral:lncRNA from 1 species